rnacentral:rRNA from 1 species
UACGUAGGGGGCUAGCGUUGUCCGGAAUCAUUGGGCGUAAAGCGCGUGUAGGCGGCCCGGUAAGUCCGCUGUGAAAGUCCAGGGCUCAACCCUGGGAUGCCGGUGGAUACUGUCGGGCUCGAGUCCGGAAGAGGCGAGUGGAAUUCCUGGUGUAGCGGUGAAAUGCGCAGAUAUCAGGAGGAACACCAAUGGCGAAGGCAGCUCGCUGGGACGUGACUGGCGCUGAGACGCGAAAGCGUGGGGAGCAAACAGG